UGGCUCAGAUUGAACGCUGGCGGCAGGCCUAACACAUGCAAGUCGAGCGGUAGCACAGAGAGCUUGCUCUCGGGUGACGAGCGGCGGACGGGUGAGUAAUGUCUGGGAAACUGCCUGAUGGAGGGGGAUAACUACUGGAAACGGUAGCUAAUACCGCAUAACGUCGCAAGACCAAAGAGGGGGACCUUCGGGCCUCUUGCCAUCAGAUGUGCCCAGAUGGGAUUAGCUAGUAGGUGGGGUAACGGCUCACCUAGGCGACGAUCCCUAGCUGGUCUGAGAGGAUGACCAGCCACACUGGAACUGAGACACGGUCCAGACUCCUACGGGAGGCAGCAGUGGGGAAUAUUGCACAAUGGGCGCAAGCCUGAUGCAGCCAUGCCGCGUGUAUGAAGAAGGCCUUCGGGUUGUAAAGUACUUUCAGCGAGGAGGAAGGCAUUGUGGUUAAUAACCACAGUGAUUGACGUUACUCGCAGAAGAAGCACCGGCUAACUCCGUGCCAGCAGCCGCGGU
rnacentral:rRNA from 1 species